rnacentral:rRNA from 1 species
CCUACGGGGUGCAGCAGUGAGGAAUAUUGGUCAAUGGCCGUAAGGCUGAACCAGCCAAGUCGCGUGAAGGAAGAAGGAUCUAUGGUUUGUAAACUUCUUUUAUAGGGGAAUAAAGGUAUCCACGUGUGGAUAUUUGAAUGUACCCUAUGAAUAAGCAUCGGCUAACUCCGUGCCAGCAGCCGCGGUAAUACGGAGGAUGCGAGCGUUAACCGGAUUUAUUGGGUUUAAAGGGUGCGUAGGUUGGUUUUUAAGUCAGCGGUGAAAGUUUGUGGCUCAACCAUAAGAUUGCCGUUGAAACUGGAUGACUUGAGUGUGUUUGAGGUAGGCGGAAUGCGUGGUGUAGCGGUGAAAUGCAUAGAUAUCACGCAGAACUCCGAUUGCGAAGGCAGCUUACUAAGCCAUAACUGACACUGAGGCACGAAAGCGUGGGGAUCAAACAGGAUUAGAUACCCUUGUAGUC